UACAGCUAUAUCAGGGUGAAAACACCAAUUCUCGCACGAUCACAAAUGUUAAGCAACAUCGAGCCUGUUCAGUAACUAGAUGGGUGGCCGCUUGGGAAUGACAGAAACUG